rnacentral:rRNA from 1 species
AUUGAACGCUGGCGGCAUGCCUUACACAUGCAAGUCGAACGGCAGCACGGGGCAACCUGGUGGCGAGUGGCGAACGGGUGAGUAAUGCAUCGGAACGUACCUUUCAGUGGGGGAUAACGUAGCGAAAGUUACGCUAAUACCGCAUAUUCUGUGAGCAGGAAAGCAGGGGAUCGCAAGACCUUACGCUGAUUGAGCGGCCGAUGUCAGAUUAGCUAGUUGGUGAGGUAAAGGCUCACCAAGGCGACGAUCUGUAGCGGGUCUGAGAGGAUGAUCCGCCACACUGGAACUGAGACACGGGCCAGACUCCUACGGGAGGCAGCAGUGGGGAAUUUUGGACAAUGGGGGCAACCCUGAUCCAGCCAUGCCGCGUGAGUGAAGAAGGCCUUCGGGUUGUAAAGCUCUUUCGGCCGGGAAGAAAUCGCACGGGCUAAUACCCUGUGUGGAUGACGGUACCGGAAUAAGAAGCACCGGCUAACUACGUGCCAGCCGCCGCGGUAAAAC